AUACGGAGGACGCGAGCGUUAUCCGGAUUCAUUGGGUUUAAAGGGUGCGCAGGCGGCCGUGCAAGUCAGCGGUGAAAGCCCGGGGCUCAACCCCGGAAGUGCCGUUGAUACUGCAUGGCUGGAAUGCGGUCGAGGCGGGCGGAACGUGGCGGGUAGCGGUGAAAAGCGUAGAUAUGCCACAGAACGCCGAUAGCGGAGGCAGCUCGCCGGGCCGGCAUUGACGCUGGGGCACGAAAGCGUGGGGAUCGAACAGGAUUAGAUACCCUGGUAGUCCACGCCGUAAACGAUGGGCGCUCGUCGUCGGCGGCAGACAGUCGGCGGCCAAGCGAAAGCGAUAAGCGCCCCACCUGGGGAGUACGGUCGCAAGGCUGAAACUCAAAUGAAUUGGCGGGG
rnacentral:rRNA from 1 species